CUCUCUCUCUUCUGCAUUUGUGUUGGCGGCCAAGCAUGAAGAUGAUCGCCUUUACUAUCACACUUCUAAUAAUUUCAGAUUAUCUGGGGCCUUGCUGCGCCGCAGGUGCCACUGUCUGUUCACGCGCUUUCAUGGUCAUCCGUAAAAGUUUCGGCUGCCCAUUUGGGUCCAAUGAAUGCUCAAAGUACUGCAAAGAGAAGAAGGCCCAGAAAGGUGGAUACUGCACCGGAAGAUUCAAAGAAAACUGCGUGUGCUUCAGAAAUUAAAUUUCACAUUAAGCGUCCUUGAAUUUAAGGCAUGGCUUUUGCCAUUGCGUUCAGACAGUGACAUAAAACAACCGGCCUACA
rnacentral:lncRNA from 1 species